AGCCGUCGCCUGCAGCCCGAGAAAUGAGAGGCACCGGGGUCUAGAGAAAGGUGUUAUCCACCUUCGUCUCUCGUUUUAUUCUUCUUUUUCUUCUCUCUUUUUUUUUUGGAAGAGCGAAGAGGCACGUAUAAACUUUUUUUUUAAAAAAAGCAUUCAUCCUCCUGCAAAAGUCACUUCAGCAACUCUUCUUAUUAAAUACUGCUCACGAUGUCUUUAUAUACUGAUAAUCAUCUACAGAGCUAUCCGAUUACUAAUGAUAUUUAAACCCAAGCUAAGAUGCCACCCCACCACCACCAGUAUAAAAUGUCCCGAAAUUUUCAAUGUACAUGAAUUUUGGUAACAUUAAAUCUGUAACUAAUUUGUUUUGUCACUAAAACUUUCAGAAAAGAUAUAUUUUAAUAUUACACUUAUUAAUAAGCGUUUUGUACAUUCAUUCACAAUGGAUGACUUUUUUUUUUGAGACAGAGUCGCCCUGUCGCCCAGGCUGAUUGUAUAACUAACUGCACGUCACUCAUAAAUAAGUAUCUGUGAAUACAAAGAAUGGUAAUUAAUUUUCUCAUUUUGAAUCAGACAUAUGUAACUGCCAGUUACAGAUACUUAAUAGUUUAACAUUUAUUGUGAGUGCCUACUAUAUGCCACGCAUGCUAAAAUAUUUGAUGAUAAAAGGACAAAUAACAGAAGGUCAGGGUUCAUGCCUUUUUCUUUUUUUCCUGAAAUGUUAACACUUAUUUAUUCUCUG
rnacentral:lncRNA from 1 species